rnacentral:tRNA from 1 species
GGCUGUGGCUCAGUGGUAGAGCACUUGCCUAGCAUGUAUGAGGCCCUGGGUUCAAUUCUCAGCACCA